UACAGAGGUCUCAAGCGUUGUUCGGAUUCAUUGGGCGUAAAGGGUGCGUAGGCGGGAUGGCAAGUCGGUCGUGAAAUCCUUCGGCUCAACCGAAGAACGUCGAUCGAUACUGCUGUUCUUGAGGGUUGCAGAGGAGACUGGAAUUCCCGGUGUAGCGGUGAAAUGUGUAGAGAUCGGGAGGAACACCGGUGGCGAAGGCGGGUCUCUGGGCAAUUCCUGACGCUGAGGCGCGAAAGCGUGGGGAGCAAACGGG
rnacentral:rRNA from 1 species